GGGCCUAUAGCUCAGUUGGUUAGAGCAGCGGACUCAUAAUCCGUUGGUCCUAGGUUCAAGUCCUAGUGGGCCCACCA
rnacentral:tRNA from 6 species